CACAUGACUCCAGUGACUCCAGUGAAUGAAGCAGGUCUAUAAGUACUGGUAUGGGAAACACCCAUAUGGUGCAAUUCAGAGACCAUUUCUGG
rnacentral:lncRNA from 1 species